AACGCACCUUGCGCCCUUUGGCCAUUCCGAAGGGCAUGCCUGUUUGAGUAUCAUGAACACCUCAACUCUUCAUGGUUUUCCGUGAUGAGCUUGGACUUUGGGGGUUUUGCUGGCCUACGGUCGGCUCCUCUAAAAUGAAUCAGCUUGCCAGUGUUUGGUGGGCAUCACAGGUGUGAUAACUAUCUACGCUUGUGGUUUUCCCACCAGGUAACCUUCAGCAGUGGAGGUUCGCUGGAGCUCACAGAUGUCUCUCCUCAGUGAGGACAGCCCUUUGAAUGUUUGAUCUCAAAUCAGGUAGGACUACCCGCUGAACUUAA
rnacentral:misc_RNA from 1 species